CAGUAGCCGCGGGAAUACGUAGGUGGCAAGCGUUGUCCGGAAUUAUUGGGCGUAAAGGGCUCGCAGGCGGUUUCUUAAGUCUGAUGUGAAAGCCCCCGGCUCAACCGGGGAGGGUCAUUGGAAACUGGGAAACUUGAGUGCAGAAGAGGAGAGUGGAAUUCCACGUGUAGCGGUGAAAUGCGUAGAGAUGUAGAGGAACACCAGUGGCGAAGGCGACUCUCUGGUCUGUAACUGACGCUGAGGAGCGAAAGCGUGGGGAGCGAACAGGAUUAGAUACCCGGGUAGUCCCUGUCUCUUAUAC
rnacentral:rRNA from 1 species